AGAGUUUGAUUAUGGCUCAGGAUGAACGCUAGCUACAGGCUUAACACAUGCAAGUCGAGGGGCAGCAUUGGAGUAGCAAUACUCAGAUGGCGACCGGCGCACGGGUGAGUAACACGCAUCCAACCUGCCGCUUACUCGGGGAUAGCCUUUCGAAAGAAAGAUUAAUACCCGAUGGUAUAAAGAGUUCGCAUGUUCUCUUUAUUAAAGAAUUUCGGUAAGCGAUGGGGAUGCGUUCCAUUAGAUAGUUGGCGGGGUAACGGCCCACCAAGUCUACGAUGGAUAGGGGGUUCUGAGAGGAAGGUCCCCCACAUUGGAACUGAGACACGGUCCAAACUCCUACGGGAGGCAGCAGUGAGGAAUAUUGGUCAAUGGACGAGAGUCUGAACCAGCCAAAAGUAGCGUGAAGGAUGACUGCCCUAUGGGUUGUAAACUUCUUUUAUAAGGGAAUAAAGUGAGGGACGUGUCCCUUUUUGUAUGUACCUUAUGAAUAAGGAUCGGCUAACUCCGUGCCAGCAGCCGC
rnacentral:rRNA from 1 species